GGUGAAAGCCACUUUUCUGCUGGUUAGAUGCAAGGUUCUAUGACAACAGUUGGUAAUUAGAGAUGAACUCUGUAAAGUCCUUUCUAAAUCCUGUAUA